AUGGGCCCAGGAGGCCCAAUGGCUGCAAAGAGCAGCCUCCCAAAUGAUACAUGAAGCCUGCUGUUUGUACAGGUUGCCCAGGGGACCCUGGAGGCAGUA
rnacentral:snoRNA from 1 species